ACUCCCUUAGUAUAAAUAGUACUAUUGACUUCCAAUCAAUGAGUCUCGAUAUACUCGAGAGAGAGUA
rnacentral:tRNA from 1 species